rnacentral:rRNA from 1 species
GUGGGGAAUCUUCCGCAAUGGACGAAAGUCUGACGGAGCGACGCCGCGUGAGUGAAGAAGGCCUUCGGGUCGUAAAGCUCUGUCAUCAGGGACGAACGGCCGGUGGAGUGGAAAGCCACCGGAUUGACGGUACCUGAGAAGGAAGCCACGGCUAACUACGUGCCAGCAGCCGCGGUAAUACGUAGGUGGCAAGCGUUGUCCGGAAUUAUUGGGCGUAAAGCGCGCGCAGGUGGGAUCUUAAGUCCAUUUUUAAAGUUCGGAGCUCAACUCCGUGAUGGGAUGGAAACUGGGAUUCGUGAGUACCGGAGAGGAAAGCGGAAUUCCCCGUGUAGCGGUGAAAUGCGUAGAUAUGGGGAGGAACACCAGUGGCGAAGGCGGCUUUCUGGACGGUGUCUGACACUGAGGCGCGAAAGCCAGGGGAGCGAACGGGAUUAGAUACCCGGGUAGUCC